AUGUUUUGAUGCAGAUGCACGAUUUUAUCCCUGUAGUUGGGUUGGUAAGACAUUUAAAGUCAGCGUAGACGCUACUACAGUUGGGAGUUGGUCCUUUGAUUUCACAGGGAAAGGAAGCAUGUUGGAGAUGUUAGACCAAGUCCUUCAGUUAGAAUGUGUGAAAAUCGACGGACAAUUUAUUAUUUUACGAAAGAUAGGAACAGAUAUGAUGAGUUGUAUGUCUAUAUACAAUAUUACGACAGAUGCCUUUAUGUUUUACUACAGACAACGAUACGUGGACAAUCCAAAAAGUGUUUGUGACGUGUGUCAUGAUUUCAAGGCAUUCAUAGCCAGAG